GGUUGUGGCUCAGUGGUAGAGCGCUUGCCUAGCAUGCAUGAGGCACUAGGUUUGAUCCCCAGCACCA
rnacentral:tRNA from 1 species